rnacentral:rRNA from 1 species
UGCAAGUCGAACGAUGAAAUCCUCUGCUUGCAGAGGAUGGAUUAGUGGCGAACGGGUGAGUAACACGUGGGUAACCUGCCCAUAAGAGGGGGAUAACAUUCGGAAACGGAUGCUAAUACCGCAUAGGUCUUUGAGACGCCUGUCUCUUAGAUGAAAGGUGGCUUCGGCUGCCGCUUAUGGAUGGACCCGCGGCGUAUUAGCUAGUUGGUGAGGUAAUGGCUCACCAAGGCUGUGAUACGUAGCCGACCUGAGAGGGUGAUCGGCCACACUGGGACUGAGACACGGCCCAGACUCCUACGGGAGGCAGCAGUAGGGAAUCUUCCACAAUGGGUGAAAACCUGAUGGAGCAAUACCGCGUGAGUGAAGAAGGUCUUCGGAUCGUAAAGCUCUGUUGUUAGAGAAGAACAAGUCGGGUAGUAACUGCCCCGACCUUGACGGUAUCUAACCAGAAAGUCACGGCUAACUACGUGCCAGCAGCCGCGGUAAUACGUAGGUGACAAGCGUUGUCCGGAUUUAUUGGGCGUAAAGCGAGCGCAGGCGGUCUUUUAAGUCUGAUGUGAAAGCCCACGGCUCAACCGUGGAGGGUCAUUGGAAACUGGAAGACUUGAAUGCAGAAGAGGAAAGUGGAAUUCCAUGUGUAGCGGUGAAAUGCGUAGAUAUAUGGAGGAACACCAGUGGCGAAGGCGACUUUCUGGUCUGUAAUUGACGCUGAGGCUCGAAAGCGUGGGGAGCGAACAGGAUUAGAUACCCUGGUAGUCCA